GUGUCAGCAGCCGCGGUAAUACGGGGGGAGCAAGCGUUGUUCGGAAUCACUGGGCGUAAAGGGUGCGCAGGCGGGAGAUUAAGUCGGAUGUGAAAACCUCGGGCUCAACCCGAGGCCUGCAUUUGAAACUGAUCUUCUUGAGUAUCGGAGAGGAAAGCGGAACUCCAGGUGUAGCGGUGAAAUGCGUAGAUAUCUGGAGGAACACCUGUGGCGAAGGCGGCUUUCUGGCCGAAUACUGACGCUCAUGCACGAAGGCUAGGGGAGCAAACAGGAUUAGAUACCCCCGUAGUCC
rnacentral:rRNA from 1 species